rnacentral:lncRNA from 1 species
GGAUUUGCCAUCUUAAGCCCCUAGCGCAGGGACGUGGUAUUCCCUGGGACAGACUCUCUCACAGACAAAUGAUAGCAGCGAGUAGAAGAAUCCCACGAAUCUCAGACUGGCAUUGAGCUCACCAUGUCACAGAGGACGACCUCCACCUUUGGCUCCUCCUGCCUCUACCUCCAAACUGCUGAGAUCACAGAUGCAUAGGGCCAUACCUGGUUUCAUUCAGUGAUGAAGACCAAACUCAGGGCUUUGUACAUGUUAAGCAAGCCCUCUGCCCACUGAGCUGCACCUCCUCAGCCACUUCUUUGACUGGCUUGCCACUCCACCAGAGGUAUGUCUCUGGGUUGCAGCAUAGGGGUGAGGUGGUACAGCAUCUUUUUACUAUCUAUUCAUCUCAGAGAAGCCUUUUGGAGACCCUCCCCCAAACAGCCAAGCUGUAAGGACAGGCAGCCCUGUGAUCAGAGGAGGGAUGCAUUGCUGUGUCUGCGUGUGUACCAUAUGCUUUCCUCUGUAAAGGCAGGAUGUGAGGUUGGGACACAGCCCUGGGCUGCAAGGUUCUGUCUCAUGAACACCAAGAAAACAUUGGGUGAGGAGCCUGGCCUCUGGAGAUGGUCAGAUGGGCACCACCUGCUUUCACACACAUGAGGGACCAAACCCUGAGAGCUCCCUGGGAUAUAGGCAACCUGAUAGAACUUGGACUUUCAAGGGGGGGGGGCCCUUCUGGAAAGUUCCACUUCCAUUUCAGAGGUCAGUACUUAACUUACCACUCUCUCCCUUACGAAUCUAACUUAAAAAUACUUCUGGAGGCAUGGUGAUUCAUGCUUGGGAUCCUACCACUUGGAAACUGAGGCAGGAGGAUGAAGAAUUUUAGAAUAGCUUGUGCUUUAUAGCGUGUUUCAAUGUGAAUAACUGAAUGAGUACUAAAAACACUUGAGCUUUUCAGAAUCAAUGCGUACCCUUGGUACCUGACCUAAGCAGGCAUCAUGCCACUCAGAGUCUGGGAAAUUCACUAAAGGCCUUGACCAAAAUAAAAAUAAAAAUAAAAAUAAAAAUAAAAAUAAAAAAGGCCUUGGCCAUGUCUUUCCUGGCACCCU